rnacentral:lncRNA from 1 species
AUAGCAGCAUGAUUUAUAGUCCUUUGAGUAUAUACCCAGUAAUGGGAUAGCUGGGUCAAAUGGUAUUUCUAGUUCUAGAUCCCUGAGGAAUCGCCACAAUGACUUCCACAAUGGUUGAACCAGUUUACAGUCCCACCAACAGUGUAAAAGUGUUCCUAUUUCUCCACAUCCUCUCCAGCACCUGUUGUUUCCUGACUUUUUAAUGAUCGCCAUUCUAACAGGUGAAACACCCUCAUGCACACUGGAGCAUCAGCACGGUGAGGGCAGGGCGUCCACGUGUCUUUGUGCCCUGCUUGACCCCGUGCUGGGACCUUCUACGAGAGCCACGGUGACACGUACAGCAGAUUUCCGGGACACGGCAGUUGUGAAAAUAAAAGAACGAAAGAAUGAACAAAAGGAAAGUGAACACUUCCCCAUUUUAUAGAUUGGAGAGUUGAGGUUUGGCGAGUGAUGUGAAUUAUCCAUGAUUACGUAGCUGAGGUUUGGCCAAGUGCAGACUCCAGAUGGUUCUGUCUAGUUCUGCCUCCCAGGGCUUUCCCCUGUGCAGGCUGCCUCGACCCUGCCUGACUGCCGCCUGUGUCUGAAUCUCUCAGAGCCGUCUGUCUUAAACAGGAAGAGACGGCCUUUAUAUACUGUUUUCAAGGCAACCCACUCCCAUUUAAUGUUAGUCUAGAUGGUUGCAGGUGUAUUUUGUUAUGCUGGCUUCUGGUUUACUCUGCAUAGUCGGGGAGCAUGAGAGGGGUGAUAUGGUUAGCAAAUGCCUUUGAAUUGUUACAUAACUACAUUGAUUCCUUGAAAAAAGCCAUCUUAUUAAAACAAAACAAGGAAUAUUAUGCCUUGUUGAAGCUGACCUAUCAAAAUGUAAAAGAAAUAAAGUAAUGAAUGGUGUCUUGGAAAAAA